AGAGUUUGAUCCUGGCUCAGGAUGAACGCUAGCGACAGGCCUAACACAUGCAAGUCGAGGGGCAGCGGAGAGGUAGCAAUACCUUUGCCGGCGACCGGCGCACGGGUGAGUAACACGUAUGCAAUCCACCUGUAACAGGGGGAUAACCCGGAGAAAUCCGGACUAAUACCCCAUAAUAUGGGCGCUCCGCAUGGAGAGCCCAUUAAAGAGAGCAAUUUUGGUUACAGACGAGCAUGCGCUCCAUUAGCCAGUUGGCGGGGUAACGGCCCACCAAAGCGACGAUGGAUAGGGGUUCUGAGAGGAAGGUCCCCCACAUUGGAACUGAGACACGGUCCAAACUCCUACGGGAGGCAGCAGUGAGGAAUAUUGGUCAAUGGGCGAGAGCCUGAACCAGCCAAGUCGCGUGAGGGAAGACUGCCCUAUGGGUUGUAAACCUCUUUUAUAAGGGAAGAAUAAGUUCUACGUGUAGAAUGAUGCCUGUACCUUAUGAAUAAGCAUCGGCUAACUCCGUGCCAGCAGCCGCGGUAAUACGGAGGAUGCGAGCGUUAUCCGGAUUUAUUGGGUUUAAAGGGUGCGUAGGCGGCACGCCAAGUCAGCGGUGAAAUUUCCGGGCUCAACCCGGAGUGUGCCGUUGAAACUGGCGAGCUAGAGUACACAAGAGGCAGGCGGAAUGCGUGGUGUAGCGGUGAAAUGCAUAGAUAUCACGCAGAACCCCGAUUGCGAAGGCAGCCUGCUAGGGUGAAACAGACGCUGAGGCACGAAAGCGUGGGUAUCGAACAGGAUUAGAUACCCUGGUAGUCCACGCAGUAAACGAUGAAUACUAACCGUUUGCGAUAUAAUGUAAGCGGUACAGCGAAAGCGUUAAGUAUUCCACCUGGGGAGUACGCCGGCAACGGUGAAACUCAAAGGAAUUGAC
rnacentral:rRNA from 1 species